AUCAACGUCUACUACAACGAGGCCGGCGGCGGCCGGUUCGUCCCGCGCGCCGUGCUCAUGGACCUCGAGCCCGGGACCAUGGACUCGGUGCGCUCGGGACCCUACGGCCAGAUCUUCCGCCCCGACAACUUCGUCUUCGGCCAGUCCGGCGCCGGCAACAACUGGGCGAAGGGACACUACACCGAGGGCGCAGAGCUCAUCGACUCCGUGCUCGACGUCGUCCGUAA
rnacentral:lncRNA from 1 species